rnacentral:rRNA from 1 species
UACGUAGGUGGCAAGCGUUGUUCGGAAUUACUGGGCGUAAAGGGCUCGUAGGCGGCCAACUAAGUCAGACGUGAAAUCCCUCGGCUUAACCGGGGAACUGCGUCUGAUACUGGAUGGCUUGAGUUCGGGAGAGGGAUGCGGAAUUCCAGGUGUAGCGGUGAAAUGCGUAGAUAUCUGGAGGAACACCGGUGGCGAAGGCGGCAUCCUGGACCGACACUGACGCUGAGGAGCGAAAGCCAGGGGAGCAAACGGG